UCAGAACAUAAAACCCUAAAACUACUGCACUCUAAUCUUACACCCACACACAUAUGGAAUAUGGAGAGGAGACCUGGUGAUGGUUCCCGCGUAGCGAUGACGGUGGUGAUUAGAAACCCUAGCCGUUCAACCCAUUUCAUGAAACAAAUCGUGAGAGAAAAAGACGAGCCGGAGAAUCAAGAGAGAUGGAGAUGGUUGUUGGCGACGGCAGACGCGGCGGAGGCCAUUCUGUGUGGGUAACUACGACGGUAGCGAUGUUUUCGGCGGCGGCUAGGGUUCAAUUCCGACCACGGUAAGUUUUCAGUUCCGAUUGGGUUUAAGACUUGCAGAUCGGCCAGCAAUCCUCUUGGCCCUCGGGUUAAACCUGUGGUGAUGGUCUGGUGACCGUGACCGUUCUGGGUUCUAGGGUUCCGGCGAGGGUACCGGUGUCUCUCAUCAGACGAUCUAGAGACAGAAUGGGAAACUUGAAGUCGAUCUCGAACAACCGCAACGUCAGAGACUUGAACCAGUGUUCCGGCGAGAAUUCAGGUUUCAUAUUCAAAGUAUUAUCUACCAUUAUGGUUGGAAGAAACUAGAUGUGCAGAAUGGUUCAGGUGUCGGUGUAGGCUAUCUCGACAUUUGCAUAGGCUACGCCGGGUUAUUUUUCAUUCAAUGUGUUCGCAAGUUUAAAAUUUAAUUAAAUCUUUUAUGUGUUAUGCAACUAUACUAAUGCUUUUGCACCUUCAUUUCUUGAUGCACCGGUCAAUGAUGGCUGUGAAUUAUUUCAUCUGUUUUUUUUUUUACUCUCAGAAGGCUGGUGGUACAAUUGAUCUUGAACCUUGUCUUACACAUACGUCAACUGUGGAACCUACUCUUGCUCCUGUGGUUGUGGAACGUACCAUGACUACUAGAGCCGCAGCUUCGAAUGCGCUUCGUCAACAAAGAUUUGUGCAUGAAGUUACAUUACAAUACAACCUUUGCAAUGAACCUUGGAUUAAGUAUAGUAUAAGUGCCAUCGCAGACAAAGGUCCGAAGAAGCCUCUAUUUACCUCUGCUCGAUUGAAAAAGGGCGAAGUUCUGUACCUGAAAAGUCCUACACAAAGGUUUGAGCUUUGUUUUAAUGGAGAGAAGAUGGUGAAGUCGGGAAAUGAAACGGAUACGAAUGGCGUGGACAGUGAUAAUAACAACAAUAACAAUAACAGUAAUAACAAUAUGAUGGAUGUAUUCAGAUGGUCUUUGUGUAAGAAGCCUCUUCCUCAGACGCUUAUGUGCUCCAUCGGCAUCCCUUUGCCGCCUGAAUAUCUAAAGCUUAUUGGGUCGAUUUGAUGUAUGACGGUGUUUGAUGUGCUGUUAUCCGGGGACGAUCAGGUGGUGUCGGAGUAACAUAAUUUAGAGUAAUUUUGCAGGUCAUUUCUCAAUCCGGUUGGCAUGCUUCAUACUACACUUUAUCUAUGGUGUCGAGGCUUCUGUUUGCGACGUUCUCACCGUUAUCGCCGUUCAGAUGUCGUCGUCAUCGGUCGUUUGGGUGGUGUCAAUUUAUAUGAAUCAUAAAUAAUUAGAUGAUAAAUUGUGUUAAUUAAGCAACUUUAAAGUGUUAUAAGAAGGGGAUGAGUACUUGUCAUACAAAGAGACCUCGGAUUGCAAGCUAGAGUUGUUGGUGAAUUGCUCCAACCUGGUGGCCACAUAAAAUUGAUGCAACUGGAUUUAGAAGAUUGUGUAGAGAACAUAGAUGCUCAAAAGGAGAUGUUUCAGGUAGAUGUUUUUACAAUGGCGAUUUGUCCAGCGGAUUACAGUUGCAUUCUGUAACGGAAUAUACAAAAACGAACUGCCACAAAAUUUUGUACGGUUCAACGCUUAUUGUGUAGAAUAACAGAGCAAAUGAUGUUUUUAAUUAGAUCACAUAAUGUAAACCACCACUACAAGAACAAUCUUCAAUGAUGAUUUAGCAAUUCAAUUGACUUGAAUGGUU